AACGAACGCUGGCGGCAUGCCUAACACAUGCAAGUCGAACGAGACCUUCGGGUCUAGUGGCGCACGGGUGCGUAACGCGUAGGAACCUGCCCUUAGGUUCGGAAUAACUCCCCGAAAGGGGUGCUAAUACCGGAUAAUGUCUUCGGACCAAAGAUUUAUCGCCUUUGGAUGGGCCCGCGUUGGAUUAGCUGGUUGGUAGGGUAAAAGCCUACCAAGGCGACGAUCCAUAGCUGGUCUGAGAGGAUGAUCAGCCACACUGGGACUGAGACACGGCCCAGACUCCUACGGGAGGCAGCAGUGGGGAAUAUUGGACAAUGGGCGAAAGCCUGAUCCAGCAAUGCCGCGUGAGUGAUGAAGGCCUUAGGGUUGUAAAGCUCUUUUACCCGGGAUGAUAAUGACAGUACCGGGAGAAUAAGCUCCGGCUAACUCCGUG
rnacentral:rRNA from 1 species